AGCCAAUCAUUAUCGGACAGAUUUUAACUGCAGCAUUCUCAUUCGUCGAAAGUAAAGGUAGGUGUCAUUUGAUUGGCUUUCGUACGCCUUCUGGCAUACCGAUAUUGCUUAGUCCUGUGCCAUAGAACUGCACACCGUAGGUGAGAGCCAAAAAGGCAAAUCAUCUCACGUCGCAGAAACUCUGAAAGGAAUUUAUUUUUCCAAGGCCCAUACUUUGUGGGGUGUAAUAUUAUUGUGAUGAUACAAUGAUAUUUGAAUUUCGAUCAUGAAUAAUGUUCAAAAAAUAAAUGAGCUCUCAGCAACCACUAAAUUGCGUCACGAAAUGGUUUCAUGGAAGUCAUCAAAUGCGUUGAACACAUUAUGCUAUAGUUCGUGAUCGCGAACGUACGUCAGAAAAGAAAAGAAUACGCGGUAACAUGGCUGGAGUUAUCCAAUGCCUUUGGGCUGUGUCACAUAGAACCAUAUUCUGAACUGAAAAUAUGUUGAACUGAGCAAGACAAACAAUUUGGCAAUUGUUGUGAUACAAUCUCUCUAUGCCGAUAACAAGCAAUAUUAGAAUCCCGCUGAUUAUUAAAAUCAAUGCUAGAAUAAAGCAAAACUAGAAUAGAAAACUAAAAAAAAAUUUAGCACUAUUAUAUUCAAUCUUGCUAUGGAGCCUGUACUACGAUCUAUAACUCAAAUAUAUUACAGGUAUAUGAUAGACCACGUGAUUCUGUGUUCAAUAGAUAAUAGAAUAGACAAUAGGCCUUUUGCUCAUUAUAUAUUCUGAUAGAUAUUUCACAAUUCUGAGAACUUAUGUCUAUGCAGCAACCUAAGCCUACUUCUGAUUACGCUCCUCAAUAUUGUAAUCAGAAAUCAGAAAAUAUUGCAAGGUGUCUCAAUGGCAGCAUGAAAGCGGUACUUUCAAACGAGUUCCCAAAAAUCAUUAACAAAUAGGCUCAUGUAUUAACAAAUAGAUAACCUAAGCAUUGUGAUCAAAAGAUUGUUUAGUAGAAUGAAUAAAACUAGUCAGUAUCGUCAAAUACAGACAUGGAGCUAAGAUUCAAAGAUUUCCCAAUUCAAGCUUCUCUUCAAAGCACAAUCUGCAGCUAAACUAAACUACGAAUAAUUACUUGCUAAACUAAAGAGAAUAUACAAAAUCACAUUAACAGUAACUCUAUUGAACCAUUUUGUUUAAGAUAUGAGUUUUUACUUUAAGAUAGGGUUUACAGACUAGCAUUUCUUUUACCAGAUCUAUCUUGACCAUUGCCGCUGGAUAGUACUUGACGUUUUAGAAAUAAUAAGUAGCGGUCAUUGCAGUCAAUAAGACCUUGUCACAAGUGCUUUGCCACUGCAAAUUAAAUCUAAUCACUAUCAUGAAACAACACAAUGCUUCUACAUUAAUUAAUAAAGGCCUAGAGAUGAAAGCAUUAAGAAUUAAAAAUAUUAAAUGACAAUCAGAUCAUUAUUAUUUACAAGAGGUCAAAAAAAGUGAUAAUUGUGGACGUUACAUCCCAAGUUAAGAACUGCAUUAGAGGCAGCCCGUUUAACAAAGAAACAAUAUAAAAGAGUAACCAACUAUUUCCAACAGCAAGUUUACGAAAUAUAUUUGGAAAAUUUCAUGCCUUAGAUGGUCUUAGAUGGCUGGAUUCCCUACAAUGAGUUAGUUCUAUAGAUUGUGGGGAUCAACAUAUCCUAUGUCAGGCUGAUGAGGAAACUAAUAUGCAACAAUACCAUAAGAUGAUGCUGCAAUAUUUAUAUCAACUGCAUAAUUGGAAAGAGGCAAUAUUAAAAAUAAAUAGAAAAAGUAUACAUUCACAGAUGUUACCAGUGUUCAGAGCUAUAGAAAAUUAUAAAUAGGACUGAAAAUCCUAGAUAAAUGCUAGAAUAAUAUACAAUUAUGUAUAAGUUAAAAAAUCUAGUCAGAAGGUGGACUGGAAUCUAGUCAGAUAGGUUAGAAAAUACCAUCUAUAACUGAUUAUUUCUUGUUUAUAUACGUUUAAUUAUAUCAUAUACAUUUUCUUAAAUAAAGAGAUUUAUCUGAUUUACAAUUUUACAUAA